rnacentral:tRNA from 1 species
GGAGCCAUAGCUCAAUUGGUCAGAGCGCUGCCCUGUCACGGCAGAGGUUGCGGGUUCGAGACCCGUUGGCUCCG